CAGCAACACUGGCCACUUUUCAAUGGGACUCCUGGCGAACGAGUGUAAGCGUAAUGCAUUUGUGUGAGUGCCGCUGCGAGGGUGUUCCUGUGAAGUGGAAGCGCUGGAAAAGCGCAUUCUCACAUUUCAAUUAAAUAACACCAGCGGCGUACGGUUACAAUUGCCAGUUCAAUGGGCAUUCCGAGCUUGUGAGGAAAAUAACCACUUGGGCUUUGGGCGAACUUCGACUGUAGUAUGGUUCUAUUCUCAGUGCAUAAGAGAAAGGUAAGCGCAGCUUGGUUGUUGAGUGCUCGAAAUAAUAUGAUGGACCAGAAAUAUUUAAGACCUUUCCUAUUACUAAAUUUACAAUUAAAAAAAAGUUCGUUACUCCGGGUAAUAACUGAAGUUAUUGCCCAUCUUCCAGCUAAUUACAUUAUAGUACUUUCACUUCUAACCCUUCGUCGAUUGCGAGCAGGUCCCACAAGUGCCUUGGCUUUAUUAAUAGCAACUCAUGUUGCGUUUAAACUGGACAACAAUGGCACUAAGGCAGCGGACAUGGCACUGGCACUGGCAGUGGACCCGCGACCCACACCCAGCACACAAGCACUUCGGAGGUGGCGCCACACCAGCCACCCGAAUCCAGGCAACCGACAAGCCCGCACUUUCCCUUAGGCUUGGCAUGUGCUAGGGUCUGCGACUGCGGAUACUUCUGUGCGCUCGUCAUGCCACCACAUGUGAUAUAAAAAUACAUAAAUGGACAAUGCAAAAGGAAAGAUGAGUAAGAGCUCUGUGCCGCCGGGGCACAGGAGCAGGAGGAUGCGGAUGGGUGGAGGCUCAGCUCGGAUUAGGGGCGAAUUGAUUGAGUGAAUGGACUGAGGGUGUGGUCCUGAGAAGACACCAAGACACCAAUAACUGCUGCAAUAACUGGCCAAGCAGGCGGGCGCAGCAGGAAGGUCGGAUCUAGCAGUGGCCAAUGCAGCCGCCACAUGCUGGAAUUUGGUAGUGACACCACGCUCUCGAAAGCCGGAAAAUUCUUUGCAGUGCCACCACGUUACCCAUACGCACCGUUGACCAUGUAAUCGAAAGGCACAGCAUGCCAUCGCCCAGCUAGAGAAAUGCCAGACCCAGGGGACGGAUGCCAUUGGAAUGCUGGCGAGAGUUUGGCCAUUUUCGGUCCUGACAUAUUUUCCAACGCUCAAGCACAAUUUCACUUUAGCUUCCA
ensembl:ncRNA lncRNA:CR44813 long non-coding RNA:CR44813